rnacentral:tRNA from 1 species
GGCCUCGUAUAGCUCAGUUGGUAGAGCAUUGGACUAGUAUCCCAAAGGUCGUGGGUUCGACUACCACCGUGGUCA